GAGUUUGAUCCUGGCUCAGGGUGAACGCUGGCGGCGCGCUUAAUGCAUGCAAGUCGAACGUGCCUUCGGGCAAGUGGCGGACGGCUGAGUAACGCGUGAGUAACGUGCCCUUCGGUGGGGUAUAGCCUCGGGAAACUGAGAGUAAUCCCGCAUACGAUCCCCGUACCCUGGUAGGGGGAUGAAAGCCUUCGGGCGCCGGAGGAGCGGCUCGCGUCCUAUCAGGUAGUUGGUGGGGUAAAGGCCUACCAAGCCGAUGACGGGUAGCUGGUCUUAGAGGACGAUCAGCCAGAGGGGGACUGAGACACGGCCCCCACUCCUACGGGAGGCAGCAGCAGGGAAUUUUGGGCAAUGGGCGAAAGCCUGACCCAGCGACGUCGCGUGGGGGAUGAAGGCCUUAGGGCUGUAAACCCCUUUUCCCGGGGAAGAGAAAGGACGGUACCCGGGGAAUAAGCUCCGGCUAACUACGUGCCAGCAGCCGCGGUAAUACGUAGGGAGCGAGCGUUACCCGGAAUUACUGGGCGUAAAGAGCACGUAGGCGGCUUGGUAAGUCUCUUGUGAAAGCUCCCGGCUCAACUGGGAGAGGUCAAGAGAUACUACUUGGCUUGAGGGCAGUAGAGGAAAGCGGAAUUCCCGGUGUAGCGGUGAAAUGCGUAGAUAUCGGGAGGAACACCAGUGGCGAAAGCGGCUUUCUGGGCUGUGCCUGACGCUGAGGUGCGAGAGCGUGGGGAGCAAACUGGAUUAGAUACCCUGGUAGUC
rnacentral:rRNA from 1 species